UGGCCUGUGAAGAUAUGCUUGAUCCUUGUACACCAUCUUUCGGGACUGAUAGGCACCUAUUGGCCUUGCUGAUAUUCUGCAAUUCUGAGGCCA
rfam:Musa acuminata subsp. malaccensis Doubled-haploid Pahang (DH-Pahang) genomic chromosome, chr4